CUGUGAAGCAGGGAGCCCCCUGCAUUAAAUUCACCUGGGCAGGGAGGUGAGGUGUGGUGUGUGUGGGUCUUAUUAAAAUGCAAGUACCUGGGCCCCACUCUAAUGCUGUGGAAUCAGCCCAGCGAUCUGCAGUUUAGUGUCAGGUGAUUCCUAAAUCUUGAGAACCACUGCAUUAAGUCUGUAGGUAAAUUUGAUGGCUAAACUCCAUGUCUGCUUCUUUCAUUUUUUAGCCAUUGACUGGGUUCAGAUUGAUGCCAAUUCCUCAGUCCUUCAUGAUGAAUUCAUCGCGCACAGGCUUGGAUUAAUUCCCCUCAUUAGUGAUGACAUUGUGGACAAGCUGCAGUACUCUCGGGACUGCACAUGUGAGGAGUUCUGCCCCGAGUGCUCGGUGGAGUUCACCCUCGAUGUGCGGUGCAAUGAAGACCAGACGCGACAUGUCACGUCUCGAGACCUCAUCU
rnacentral:sRNA from 1 species